CUAAGAACCGAUCACUCUCCAUCUCUCAUUCACUAUCAUCUUUUUUGAAGACCUCUCAAAGUGUUCUCUCCAUUUUUCAAGCCCAAGAACACCAAGGAAACUUUGAGGCUAGGUCUUGGUCUAGGAAGUAUUUUCCCUAAGUUUGUUAGGGUUUUUGAAAGGUUUUGGAGGAGCAAAGCUAAUAGGAAGGUCCAAACCUUAAGCAAGAACACCAAAGAGUAUUGGCUAAGCGUAACUGGACUGAACGUUGGAGGGUGAAAACCUGCUGAGCGCUAAGGACUCCAAGUAAGUGCAAGGGCAAGGCAGAGCAGUGAGCGCUGGAGUCUUCCUUGCAAAUGUACAUGUGGACCGACCUUUUGGGAAGCCGUUUUAUUUUUGGGAAUGUUGUGUAAUUUUCCUAAGCAAGGCUCACUCUACUCUUUAUAAAAUAUGUUUGUAACUAAAUGUUAAGUAUGGCCUUACGACUUUUUAAAAAGUUUUUUUUUAUACGGGUUUUUGAGACAUUUUGUUAAAUGAAAACAUUUAUA